rnacentral:rRNA from 1 species
GUAGGUGGCAAGCGUUGUCCGGAAUUAUUGGGGCGUAAAGCGCGCGCAGGCGGUUCUUUAAGUCUGAUGUGAAAGCCCACGGGCUCAACCGUGGAGGGUCAUUGGAAACUGGAGAACUUGAGUACAGAAGAGGAAAGCGGAAUUCCACGUGUAGCGGUGAAAUGCGUAGAGAUGUGGAGGAACACCAGUGGCGAAGGCGGCUUUCUGGUCUGUAACUGACGCUGAGGCGCGAAAGCGUGGGGAGCAGACAGGAUUAGAUACCCUGGUAGUCCACGCCGUAAACGAUGAGUGCUAAGUGUUAGGGGGUUUCCGCCCCUUAGUGCUGCAGCUAACGCAUUAAGCACUCCGCCUGGGGAGUACGGCCGCAAAGGCUG